UAAGAAAAUAAACCAAGUGACCGGGGUUGG
rnacentral:piRNA from 1 species